rnacentral:rRNA from 1 species
GACGAACGCUGGCGGCAGGCCUAACACAUGCAAGUCGAGCGGAGCGGCGGACGGGCGAGUAAUGCCUAGGAAUCUGCCUUGUCGUGGGGGUUAACGUCCGGAAACGGACGCUAGUACCGCAUCCUAUCAGCUAAGCCUAGGUCGGAUUAGCUAGUUGGUUGGUUAAAGGCCUACCAAGGCGACGAUCCGUAACUGGUCUGGGAGGAUGAUCAGUCACACUGGAACUGAGACACGGUCCAGACUCCUACGAGAGGCAGCAGUGGGGAAUAUUGGACAAUGGGCGAAAGCCUGAUCCAGCCAUGCCGCGUGUGUGAAGAAGGUGUUCGGAUUGUAAAGCACUUUAAGUUGGGAGGCGUUACCAACAGAAGAAGCACCGGCUAACUUCGUGCCAGCAGCCGCGGUAAUUC